rnacentral:rRNA from 1 species
UACGUAGGUGGCAAGCGUUGUCCGGAAUUAUUGGGCGUAAAGCGCGCGCAGGCGGUCCUUUUAAGUCUGAUGUGAAAGCCCCACGGCUCAACCGUGGAGGGUCAUUGGAAACUGGGGGGACUUGAGUGCAGGAGAGAAGAGUGGAAUUCCUGGUGUAGCGGUGAAAAUGCGCAGAUAUCAGGGAGGAACACCCGGGUGGCGAAGGCGCCACUCUGGGGCCGAAAACUGACGCUGAGGAGCGAAAGCGUGGGUAGCAAACAGG